UACGAAGGGGGCUAGCGUUGCUCGGAAUCACUGGGCGUAAAGGGCGCGUAGGCGGCCGAUCAAGUCAGGGGUGAAAGCCUGUGGCUCAACCACAGAAUUGCCUUUGAUACUGUUUGGCUCGAGACCGGAAGAGGUUGGUGGAACUGCGAGUGUAGAGGUGAAAUUCGUAGAUAUUCGCAAGAACACCAGUGGCGAAGGCGGCCAACUGGUCCGGUUCUGACGCUGAGGCGCGAAAGCGUGGGGAGCGAACAGG
rnacentral:rRNA from 1 species